AAUAAGUAUAGUUUUACAUUGUUCAUAUCCAACAUUUGACCGUUUGUCUUAUUUGAAAUUUUUAAUGAUUAAUAUUUUUAUUAUUAUUAGAUGAUAAAAUAUGAAUAAUACUUUGUGUGAUUAUUUUUAAAAUUUUUUUUUAAAUUUUUUAAAUAAGAUAGAUGGUCAAACGACAUGUAUACCCUACUACUCUUAUU
rnacentral:pre_miRNA from 1 species